UACGUAGGGGGCAAGCGUUGUCCGGAAUUAUUGGGCGUAAAGAGCGUGUAGGCGGUCCGGUAAGUCAGCUGUGAAAGUCAAGGGCUCAACCCUUGAAAGCCGGUUGAUACUGUCGGGCUAGAGUCCGGAAGAGGCGAGUGGAAUUCCCGGUGUAGCGGUGAAAUGCGCAGAUAUCGGGAGGAACACCAAUGGCGAAGGCAAUCCCCUGGGCCUGCACUGACGCUCAUGCACGAAAGCGUGGGGAGCAAACAGG
rnacentral:rRNA from 1 species